GCCGAACGGGUUACUGACUAAACUCUUAAACACAGGAGAAAAGUCACGUUGAACUGGAUUAAUUAUCAGCCGUAAAGAAUUCAACUGAAACGUUCAGUGCCAUGGCCCUUGGAAUGCUAAUGAUGUUCUUGUAUAUAUUGUCCGCAACGAUCCUUAUUACUCCUAGUGACGCAGGGCACGUAAGGAUGGAUCCAUGUUUCCAGUAUUGCUUCGAUAUUGCAAUGUCUUGCAUGUAUACCUGCAAUCGACAUGGUGGCAACGAUUGUCAGAGGAACUGCGAAACGCUGUUCGUAGAAUGUUCAAGUGGGCCGUGCAAUUUGGUGCAAAAAAAGCCAUAAUGUAAUAAGUUAACGUAUUGGGUUGCAUCAACUACAGAGAUGAAUAUUAAAAUGUCAUUAAUUAAACACAUUAUUCUUUUAA